UCUAAUAACUCGAAACACACUUAGAAUGACUCAAAAUAAUGAAAACAAUCAAAUUAAACACUAGGAAUUGAAAUGGACGGAAAUCGAAUUGAAAGACUAACAAUAAUGAAAACUAACUAAAUAAUAUAAUUUAAUAAUGGAAGGGUGUUUGGUUUUGACUAGAAGUAAAUUAAACUUAAAUAAAUUACAGAAUUGACAAAAACAUGAAAUUAAGGUGAAAGGAUAAAUGACGGACUAGCUAGAGGGUUCCUCUCCACACAUGACACAUAUGCAACCUAAAUUGAUUUUCAGUUGUUCUUUCAAUAAAUUGUGAAUCUCAAUACUUCAGAUUAACCGUGAACAACACUUUUUUAAUCUUCAAGUUUUCCUUAAGUUAUUGAAUUGGACGGGAAAACGCAUACAACAAUUCAAAACAUUCUUCAAAAGUCCCCUACGUGAAAAGCACAAUAGAGAUACAAUCAAAGAUCAUUAAACUUUGUGAAAACUAUAAGCAUUGACGAGGCAUUCGUAACUAUGAAAAGCAUGAUACUCUUGCCAAGAAUUCACUUAACACGAUUGUGGAUAACAACCUUCACUACUUGUGAAUAUAAGUUCAUAACGAUUAGGUGAAAUUCACUUAUAUUCUAGCAUCAAAUUCAUGCAUGUAAAUUAAGUAUGCAUCCUUAAUCGACAUACAAAAAUAAGUUAUCAAUCAAGCAGUUAAGCAAAUUAAAUCACAACUCAGAAAUCACAACUGAAGAUAAUCAAUUCAUAUUACAAAUAUAUUCAUGAUUUCGAAUUAACCUCUAGCCAAAAUAAAUUAGUUACACAUUAUUAACAAAUUAAACCAAACGUAAAUCAUGAGUUUGAGAAGAUAACACCAAUAAGAACGGAGUGAAGCCCUCUGCCUCUGUGCUCAUCUUCUUCCCUGUGCUUAUUUCUGCGCCUAGCAAGUCCCUGACUUGCCCUCUUUCCAAUUCCCCGUGUCUUACGCUGCUCUCACGCUGCCAAAGGCAGCGUCCUGUCCGUUCUCCACCUAAAGCAGCCUCCCACUUCUCCUUUUAUUCUCCUACUGACCCCUUCUCCAGCUCACGUUUUCUGCCUCCCGUGUGGACUGUGUUCUGUCACUCCCUUUUCCGCUGUCCUUCCUCUCUCUCGUUUCUGCCUUCUCUCACUAGCUGCUAGGCAGCUGUCCUCUCUCUGCUGCCCUCUUUUCUUUCCUUAUUCUUUCCGCUCUGCUUUUUCUUCCCUCCCGCAAGGCAGCUAAGCUGCUUUCAAAUUCACUCGUCUUUUCUUGGUUAGUUCCUUAUAUUUUUGAGCUAUUUACGUUAUUUUUGUGUUUAUAGGAUCUGUUAUGCAAAGAAAAUAAAAAUAGCACAAAUGAGUUUUAAAUAAUAAAAAGAAAAGAAAGAACACGGCAGAGAAAUAAUAUUGGCAGUUAUCCACCACACCAAACUAUGUGUUCUUUAAUAAUUACAAUUAGCUAGCUUAGGAUAUAAUUUUACUUUUGAUAAUGGAAUCAUGAUGAAUCAUUUACUUAAACUAAUAUUGGCAGGACGUUGGAAAAGGUAUGGAUUGAUGGGAGAAUUACUUGACACACAAAUUAAACCCUCUUUUUGACAAUUGUAGUAAAGAUGUAAGUAGGGUAUCGUUCUAGGCCGGGGAUUAGGAGGGAUUGCUAAUCUAUUCUAAAUUAAUUUAAAAAUAUAAACAAGACUCAAGGACAAAAACUAGGCUAAAACUCUAAUAACUCGAAACACACUUAGAAUGACUCAAAAUAAUGAAAACAAUCAAAUUAAACACUAGAAAUUGAAAUGGACGAAAAUUGAAUUAAAAGACUAACAACAAUGAAAACUAACUAAA
rnacentral:lncRNA from 1 species